GACGAACGCUGGCUGCGUGCUUAACACAUGCAAGUCGAACGCUGAAGCCCCAGCUUGCUGGGGUGGAUGAGUGGCGAACGGGUGAGUAACACGUGAGUAACCUGCCCCUGACUUCGGGAUAAGCCCGGGAAACUGGGUCUAAUACCUGAUACGACUAUCGGACGCAUGUCUGGUGGUGGAAAGUUUUUUCGGUUGGGGAUGGGCUCGCGGCCUAUCAGUUUGUUGGUGAGGUAAUGGCUCACCAAGACGACGACGGGUAGCCGGCCUGAGAGGGCGAACGGCCACACUGGAACUGAGAGACGGCCCAGACUCCUACGGGGGGCAGCAGUGGGGAAUAUUGCACAAUGGGGGAAACCCUGAGGCAGCGACGCAGCGUGCGGGAUGACGGCCUUCGGGUUGUAAACAGCUUUCAGCAGGGAAGAAGCCUUGGGGUGACGGUACCUGCAGAAGAAGUACCGGCUAACUACGUG
rnacentral:rRNA from 1 species